GAUGAACGCUGGCGGCGUGCCUAAUACAUGCAAGUCGAGCGAAUGGAUUAAGAGCUUGCUCUUAUGAAGUUAGCGGCGGACGGGUGAGUAACACGUGGGUAACCUGCCCAUAAGACUGGGAUAACUCCGGGAAACCGGGGCUAGUACCGGAUAACAUUUUGAACCGCAUGGUUCGAAAUUGAAAGGCGGCUUCGGCUGUCACUUAUGGAUUGACCCGCGUCGCAUUAGCUAGUUGGUGAGGUAACGGCUCACCAAGGCAACGAUGCGCAGCCGACCUGGGGGGGUGAUCGGCCACACUGAGACUGAGACACGGCCCAGACUCCUACGGGAGGCAGCAGUAGGGAAUCUUCCGCAAUGGACGAAAGUCUGACGGAGCAACGCCGCGUGAGUGAUGAAGGCUUUCGGGUCGUAAAACUCUGUUGUUAGGGAAGAACAAGUGCUAGUUGAAUAAGCUGGCACCUUGACGGUACCUAACCAGAAAGCCACGGCUAACUACGUGCCAGCCGCCGCAGUAA
rnacentral:rRNA from 1 species